UGGUAUUUACAUAUGUGUGUGUGUGUGACUGCUGCACACACUUUAAGAGCUGUAGUGCUGAUCAGAGUGUGUUCAGUCCUUUCAGAGCCACUGACACGCAGCACAAUGAUGAUGGUACUGAUUCUACUGCUGGGGACACUGGGACUCCUCGCUCACCAGUCCUUUGGGGAAAUCGUCCUGACUCAGUCUCCAGGAUCUCACACUGUUUCUCCAGGAGACACUGUUACUCUCACCUGUAGAACAACUCAUGAUGUUAGCGGUGACCUUCACUGGUACCUGCAGAAACCUGGAGAAGCUCCUAAACUUUUGAUCUAUAAUGAUGUUUCACGGUACACUGGGGUUCCAGAUCGUUUCAGUGGCAUCAAAUCCAGUUCUAGAGAAUUUUACCUAAAAAUCUCUGGAGUUCAGUCUGAAGAUGCAGGAGAUUAUUACUGUCAGCAGAGUGAGAACCUUCCGUACACACAGUGUUAUAGCGCCGUACAAAAACCUCCCUCAGCUGUAGAGGAAGUGCUCUGAGUCAGAAACACACACUGAUCACUGAUCUGAGAACUGCUGAACAUUCUCCAGUGAACAUCAUCAAACAUCUUCAGCUUUAAUAAAUAAUUAUUUCUGAAAAGCAGAAAAUUCUUUCUCAGCUGAAAAAAAUCAGCUGAUAGUAAAAGAUGAUUACAGCAGUGUCUAUUACACCACUGUCACACAAUGCAGUUCAACAUCUUUCAUUAAGAGGCAAAACUCUUUUAUAUACUAUUCUCUAUUUCAGGAUUCAUUUCCUCUUCAUCUGUAAAGUUUAUAAUCUGAGGUGAACUGAUGACUGUAUUUAUGAUGUUAUUACAUCAUAGUGAUUAUAUUUAUUAUCUCAGCCUGUACAUUCUUUCUGCACAUUCUGCUAAUCAGAGACAGACUGGUUUCACUGUUCAACCCCAGCAGAUAAACACCCCAGUAACAUACAGCAAGGUUUGAUCUAUACUGAAACACAGAUUUAAAUCCAUCUGUGACUAUAAAGCUCCUGCUCCUGGUCUCUUG